AGCACCAUAGCUCAGUGGUUAGAGCACUGGUUUUGUAAAACUAGGGUUCGUGAGUUCAAUCCUCUCACUGGUAUUU